GGCGGUGUGGCCGAGUGGUUUAAGGCGGCAGAUUUAAGUCUUUUGUUUGUUAUAUACUUUCUCGAUAACGUAUAUCAGAAUAUAAGAAUUCUCUGCUAUCCGAGAGGAUGCAUGGGUUCGAACCCCAUCGCCGCCA
rnacentral:tRNA from 1 species